GGGUACGAACAUACUAGCACUAAUGCACCGGAUCCCAUCAAGACUCCGCAGUUAACUGUGCUUGGGAGAGAAUAGUUCUAAGAUGAGCAGACAGUACUCAGUUUUCUAUGCUAC
rnacentral:rRNA from 1 species